rnacentral:rRNA from 1 species
AUUGAACGCUGGCGGCAUGCCUUACACAUGCAAGUCGAACGGCAGCACGGGAGCAAUCCUGGUGGCGAGUGGCGAACGGGUGAGUAAUAUAUCGGAACGUGCCCAGUCGUGGGGAUAACGUAGCGAAAGCUACGCUAAUACCGCAUACGAUCUAUGGAUGAAAGCGGGGGAUCGCAAGACCUCGCGCGAUUGGAGCGGCCGAUAUCAGAUUAGGUAGUUGGUGAGGUAAAGGCUCACCAAGCCGACGAUCUGUAGCUGGUCUGAGAGGACGACCAGCCACACUGGGACUGAGACACGGCCCAGACUCCUACGGGAGGCAGCAGUGGGGAAUUUUGGACAAUGGG